rnacentral:ncRNA from 2 species
ACUGAAUAGAAAGCGCCUGGACUAUUCCAAAGGACGGAGAAAGACAGGAAUAGUUGACGAGGAAGAGGUUAAUCGAAUCAUUCGGCGGAUGCCUCUCGGUAUGCUUGCAACCGUAAGCACAGACCCAAAACAGGAAGGCAACUUUCUGGACAGAAGUUGUGCUGCAAGCGC